rnacentral:rRNA from 1 species
CCUACGGGAGGCAGCAGUGGGGAAUAUUGCACAAUGGGGGAAACCCUGAUGCAGCGACGCCGCGUGAGCGAUGAAGUAUUUCGGUUUGUAAAGCUCUAUCAGCGGGGACGAUAAUGACGGUACCCGAUUAAGAAGCCCCGGCUAACUACGUGCCAGCAGCCGCGGUAAUACGUAGGUGGCAAGCGUUUUCCGGAUUUACUGGGUGUAAAGGGAGCGUAGACGGCAAAGCAAGCCAGAAGUGAAAGCCAGGGGCUUAACCCAGGGACUGCAUUUGGAACUGUUUGGCUGGAGUGAAGUAGAGGCAAGCGGAAUUCCUAGUGUAGCGGUGAAAUGCGUAGAUAUUAGGAGGAACACCAGUGGCGAAGGCGGCUUGCUGGGCUGUUACUGACGCUGAGGCUCGAAAGCGUGGGGAGCAAACAGGAUUAGAUACCCGAGUAGUC